AGCAGCCGCGGUAAUUACAGCUCCAAUAGCGUAUAUUAAAGUUGUUGCAGUUAAAUAGCUCGUAGUUGAAUUUCGGGGUCAGUAGAUUGGUCGUGCCACUGGUAUGUACUGGUCUUACUGGCUCCUCCUUCCUGAUGAACCGUAAUGCCAUUAAUUUGGUGUUGCGGGGAAACUGGACUGUUACUUUGAAAAAAUUAGAGUGUUUAAAGCAGGCUAACGCUUGAAUACAUUAGCAUGGAAUAAUGAAAUAGGACGUUCGAUUUUAUUUUGUUGGUUUCUAAGAUUGACGUAAUGAUUAAUAGGGAUAGUUGGGGGCAUUAGUAUUCAAUUGUCAGAGGUGAAAUUCUUGGAUUUAU
rnacentral:rRNA from 1 species